CGCGUGUUGGCGCUUGACACAUGAUCAUUGCCUUCAAGUCGAGCCUUUUAAUUUUUUAAGCAAUGGAUAUAAAAUGAGUUGAGAAACAAAUUGCCCAUGUCGCAUUUUCGCUUCGAGGACCUAAGAUUCCUCUCCUUGUUCUGUUUACCAUGCAGGAUCCACAAACUAUAUGCAAAUUGCAGCAAUAAGAUCAUUUAAAGCUUAGGGAAUAACCUUACUACUAUAAUUGAGCAUUUUGAACCAACA
rnacentral:misc_RNA from 1 species